rnacentral:rRNA from 1 species
GACGAACGCUGGCGGCGCGCCUAACACAUGCAAGUCGAACGGAGUCAAGAGGAGCUUGCUUUUCUUGACUUAGUGGCGAACGGGUGAGUAACGCGUGAGUAACCUGCCCUGGAGUGGGGGACAACAGUUGGAAACGACUGCUAAUACCGCAUAGGCCCACGGAUCCGCAUGGAUCUGCGGGAAAAGGAUUUAUUCGCUUCAGGAUGGACUCGCGUCCAAUUAGCUAGUUGGUGAGGUAACGGCCCACCAAGGCGACGAUUGGUAGCCGGACUGAGAGGUUGAACGGCCACAUUGGGACUGAGACACGGCCCAGACUCCUACGGGAGGCAGCAGUGGGGGAUAUUGCACAAUGGGGGAAACCCUGAUGCAGCGACGCCGCGUGGAGGAAGAAGGUUUUCGGAUUGUAAACUCCUGUCGUUAGGGACGAUAAUGACGGUACCUAACAAGAAAGCACCGGCUAACUACGUG